rfam:Brassica napus, WGS project CCCW01000000 data, contig: 24377
AAGUUGUUGCAGUUAAAAAGUUCGUAGUUGAACCUUGGGAUGGGUCACCCGGUCCGCCUUCGGUGAGCACCAGUCGGCUUGUCUCUUCUGUCGGUGAUAUGCUCCUGGCCUUAACUGGCCGGGUCGUGCCUCCGGCGCUGUUACUUUGAUGAAAUUAGAGUGCUGAAAGCAAGCCUACGCUCUAUAUACAUUAGUAUGGGAUAACAUCAUAGGAUUUAGAUCCUAUUGCGUUGGCCUUCAUUAUCGGAGUAAUGAUUAACAGGGACAGUCGGUGUGACACCCCCGAUCAUAGAUGACCAGAAAUGACACGGUCGAUGUUCCUCGAGGUUCUCAGAAUACUUCCAAUCGCCUUAGACCAACAACCAAAGAAUACCAACGCUCCUAUCGG